AGGUGCAGUUGGCAGUUGAUAGGGGCCCAAAGUUGGGAAGAGAGAUAUGGGCUAGAGUAGACCACUUGUGUAUUUAUUUGUACUUGGACGUCAUAAGCAUGUAUCAAUAGCGGUUGAUGCCACUGAACAGAUAACAUUACUUUGGAAAAAAUAUAGGGGAAGAAAGUAUAGAAGGAGAAGAGAAGGGAGCUAAAAGUGGACUCAUGGAGACCAUCAGUUGUAAGGGAGAGAAAAAGGAGACUUCUAGGGAAUGGCUAAAGACACAGGAGGAAAACCAAGGAGCAUCUUUUGGAUGUUCAUUAAAAAUGAACUAAGACAAACCUAAGUGAUACUGCUGUAACCUGCCAAAAGUAAUGAUGGAGAGUUAAGAAGACUGGCUGCCAGGAAUAACAUGAUAAAUGUUACAGUGAAAGUGGCUGCAGGAGAGACAGAAGGGGACUUUAAAAGCAGAACUUUUAAAAACAAGCUCAACUCAUGAAAGAACUGACCAACUCAUAAAUAUAGUGGAUGACUCAAGCCUAAAAAUACAUGUAAUUUAACAGAAGCAAUUAUCUUGGAAGUGAGGUCUUUAUUUGCUGCUAAUCUGUUGCAAUACUCUGGGAUUCAAGGGAAAUUUGCCUGUGAAGUAACUGCUACCAUUCAUGCAAAUAAUAAUAAUAAUAAUAAUAAUAAUAAUAAUAAUAAUAAUAACAAUAGUAACAGCUAAAGAAGAAACAGAACCUCACCUAUGAACACAUGACUGUUUGGCAGCCACUGAUUCUCCUCUCGCCUCUAUCCCUGUCAGAGGUUAGGACACUGCCCUGUCUUAAGAGCUACACUGCUAGUUUUCAAAUAAUAAAAUAAUGUCUUAUAUGCACAA